UUUAAUAAAUCAAACAAAUUAUUAGCUAAUAAUCCUUUAUUUAAGAUUAUUAAGCUCAAAUUAAAAUACUAUUGAAUCCAAUUAAAUAAAUUAAGGACCCAACUUAACAAAUUAAUUCCAUAAUCUCAUGUACUCCUAAGGCCCAACACAAUUUAUUAUUACUAAUCCCUUUGAGAUUAAUAGGCCCAAGUACCAGCUUAAACCCAAUUACUAGUUUGAGCCCAAUUAACCAUUUUCAGAUUUAAAUAAAUUAAAAUUAAUAACCUUCUUUAAAACAUAAAACAAGUUAAUCUCUCUCUAUUUUCUAUUUCUUCCCCACGCAGACAUCUCUCCCUCUCUUCGCUCCCUCUCUCGGCCGCCUCUCUCUCCCCCCCUUCUCCGGCGAGCGUCGCCGGCUCGCGCCGCUUCCGGCGCGGCGAGGCUGACGCAUCUUCUCCCCUUCCGCUUUCUUCCCUCUCCUUCCUACAUUUAAUUCCCAAAUUCUAAAAUCAAUUCAACCUAGGGUUUUCAAUCUUCCCCAUCAAUUUUACUCCUCUGGAGAAUCCCGGCGAAUAACGUCGCCGCCGCCCCAGCUCGUCGGAUUUCCGCUCCUCCGUCGUUCUCCCUGCCUCAGGAAUCGAUGAUUCAAGGGAUCUCCAGUUCGUCUACUGCUCAAGAUCCAAUUUUUAUAUGUUACUAUAAACCUAUUUUCCUUUAUUGCUUAUUGUAAAACUGAGAUUUUGAUGGUGAGGAAACAAUACUGUAUCGUUACUAUGCUUAUGUGUAGCUAUGUCUUUUCUGCUGCUCUUGAUUGUUCCUUUUAUACACAAGGAAUUGAUUGAAUUGUAUACAAGAAAA